UACAGAGGUCUCAAGCGUUGUUCGGAUUCAUUGGGCGUAAAGGGUGCGUAGGCGGCGCGGUAAGUCGGAUGUGAAAUCUUGGAGCUUAACUCCGAAACUGCAUUCGAUACUGCCGUGCUUGAGGACUGGAGAGGAGACUGGAAUUUACGGUGUAGCGGUGAAAUGCGUAGAUAUCGUAAGGAAGACCAGUGGCGAAGGCGGGUCUCUGGACAGUUCCUGACACUGAGACACGAAGGCCAGGGGAGCAAACGGG
rnacentral:rRNA from 1 species